GCUUACGGCCAUACCAGCCGAAGAACGCCCGAUCUCGUCUGAUCUCGGAAGCUAAGAAGGUUUGGGCCUGGUUAGUAGUUGGAUGGGAGACUGCCUGGGAAUACCAGGUGCUGUAAGCU
ensembl:rRNA 5S_rRNA 5S ribosomal RNA